AAAAAGAAAAUCCAUCAGAAAAAUUUAAAGAUACACAGAAAAUUGCUUCCGAAGUUGCACCUAUAAAUGAACUCACUAAAAAAGAUUCGAUCAAAAAAACUUCCGUUAUUAAAAAAGACGAGAAAACUAUUUCCGAUGAUAAAAGCGAAACAAUUAGAAAAAAUUCUAUUAUUAAAAAAGUUGAGGACGAAUCAGAAACUAAGAAAACGUUGGAUACAAAA